AUUAGUUUUGUUAGUUUGAUUUUUGAACUGUAGACAAUAAACUUAUGGAGAAGGCAUCAACAAAGGACAACACCAAGACUGUAGCUAGACUAUUUGCUGGGCUUGCCGAAGAGCACAUAAGACAUUCAAACAAGUGAAUAUUUGGAUGCUAUACAUGCAUAUGAGUUCUUGAAGAAGGCAAUAAUCUUAAGGUGAAGGCAGCAAUAAAGGAGAAACAAAGGAGAACAUCAAGACACAUGUUGACCCUCAAUUGGGCCAACGACACGGAUUCAAAUGUAUGACAAAAGAUGAGACGACAAUUAAGAGUUUAACCUAAUGGUAAAGAAGAAAACACCAAGGAUUUAUAGUGGUUCGGCCCCAAAGAAUGGUAAUGACCUACGUCCACUUAGUGCUAUUAUUAAUAUUGAAUCUCAAAGUCGUGAUCAAAGAACUAGGAUUCUUGAGUUUCACAAACCUUAGGAUAAUUACAA